rnacentral:rRNA from 1 species
UACGUAGGUGGCGAGCGUUGUCCGGAAUUACUGGGUGUAAAGGGCGUGUAGGCGGGGAUGUAAGUCAGAUGUGAAAUUCCAGAGCUUAACUCUGGCGCUGCAUCUGAAACUAUAUUUCUUGAGUACUGGAGAGGAAAGUGGAAUUCCUAGUGUAGCGGUGAAAUGCGUAGAUAUUAGGAGGAACACCAGUGGCGAAGGCGGCUUUCUGGACAGUAACUGACGCUGAGGCGCGAAAGCGUGGGGAGCAAACAGG